CAAGCUCCCAUAACCUUCCACAGAAUAGAGGGAAGCAUUAGCUCUGGGCAGCUAAGAAUACAGCUUUUAAUUAUAUCUUCCCUGUGUUUACAUGAACUUUAGUUUGCAUUUCAGAAGCCUUAUGGAAGGAUUCCUGUGGCUGACCCAGGAGUAGUGGGGAAUUUCUCCAUCAAAAUUAUGCAGGAUGAGACAAAGCUAGAGAAAUUGUACUCUUCAAGAGGAAAAGAGAUGGCCCUGCCAGCAGAACCAAGUGAAAUCAACUCUCACCUCAAAUCUCAAGUCAGAACACCAAAAUGACUACUUUGUAUCUCAAACAUUGAGGUGCUAAAAAUGUAACAUCAGCCACUUAUCAUUGCUUAAUGUUUGUCAGAGACUAAAAUGGCUUUAUCAGUUCAUUCUCAUAACAUAAGAACAAUGUGUGUGUAGAAAUGAAAACCUCGGGGGAGGAGCCAAGAUGGCGGAGGAGUAGGACGGGGAGAACACUUUCUCCCCCACAAAUUCAUCAAAAGAGCAUUUAAACGUCGAGUAAACUCCACAAAA